rnacentral:rRNA from 1 species
UACAGAGGGUGCGAGCGUUAAUCGGAGUUACUGGGUGUAAAGGGCGCGUAGGCGGUUUUGUGUGUGUGAUGUGAAAGCCCCGGGCUUAACCUGGGAAGGGCAUCGCAAACUAUGAGACUGGAGUAUAUGAGAGGGUGGCGGAAUUUCCGGUGUAGCGGUGAAAUGCGUAGAGAUCGGAAGGAACGUCGAUGGCGAAGGCAGCCACCUGGCAUAAUACUGACGCUGAGGCGCGAAAGCGUGGGGAGCGAACAGGAUUAGAUACCCUGGUAGUCCACGCUGUAAACGAUGAGGACUAGAUGUUGUUAGGGGAACCUAACAGUAUCGAAGCUAACGCGAUAAGUCUUCCACCUGGGAAGUACGGCCGCAAGGUUGAA